GAUGAACGCUGGCGGCGUGCCUAAUACAUGCGAGUCGAGCGAACGGACGAGAAGCUUGCUUCUCUGAUGUUAGCGGCGGACGGGUGAGUAACACGUGGAUAACCUACCUAUAAGACUGGGAUAACUUCGGGAAACCGGAGCUAAUACCGGAUAAUAUUUUGAACCGCAUGGUUCAAAAGUGAAAGACGGUCUUGCUGUCACUUAUAGAUGGAUCCGCGCUGCAUUAGCUAGUUGGUAAGGUAACGGCUUACCAAGGCAACGAUGCAUAGCCGACCUGAGAGGGUGGUCGGCCACACUAGAACUGAGACACGGCCAGCCCUCCGAGGGGAGGCGGCAGUGGGGAUUCUUCCGCACGGGGAAAAAGCCUGACGGAGCACCGCGGGGUGAGUGAUGAAGGUCUUAGGAUCUAAAAACUUUUUUAUUAGGAAAAAAAAGAGGUGAAAGUACCUGUCAACAUCUGGAGGUACCCUAAAAAGAAACCCAGGACUAACUCGGUG
rnacentral:rRNA from 1 species